UAGAUGCUCAGUAAAGACAUUUGCCAAACAAGUGAUUCAAUGGUCAAGCAAUUCAAGAGCAACUGGAUAAAAGGUUUAUUCCAUUGGUAACAUUUACAGAAAAUUUUGAAGAGAUGGUAGUAUUGGGGCAGGAAAAACCUUCCAGGAGAGUGAGGAAUAUAUAAGUGGGAAGUUCAGGGCUUAGUGUUUGGAAAGUGGCAAAUUACAAAGUUUGGUUUUAAUAUAAGGAUAUGUCUAGGACAGGAAUCAGCCAAAUUUCCUAAGUGGCCAAAUGGCAAGGAUGUUAAGCUUUGUGAGCUGAGGUGUCUCUGUGGCAACAAUUCAACUCCGCCACCACAGUGUGAAAAGUGACAUGGAUGGCAUGUGAACAGGUGGGUAUGCUUGUGUUCUAAUACAGCUUCGUUUAUAAAACAGGUGAUGGACCGAAUUUGGCUAAUGGGUUGCAGCCUGCUGGUCCAGGGAAUAAUGAGAGGGCUAACUUUCUCUUGAGGUGGUGCAGCACCCCAAAUCCUAAACUGUGAUUCAGUGAGUUACUAGACAGGUAAUAGGCCCACAUAUGGCCCACAGAACCAUAGCAAGCUUCUAGAUUAAAACAAAGGUAUGUGACUAGAGUGGUUUUUCAAUAUGAUUAAUCUGGCAGCAUCCUCCAAUGAACUGAACCAGAAAGAUUAAAGACACAGAGAGGUGUAGUUGGGUGUCUAUUGUAAUAAUAACAGUCUAGGUAAGAGAAGGUAAGAGUCUUACCUAAAAAGAUUGAACAUGAGUUGAUAAGGGAAACUGAAACAUUGAGUCUGAUGUCUUUAUCCUGGGUUAGAAAAUGGUGCAAAGAAGUGGCCAGCUGAGUCCCUACAUCUGCAAAGUCUAAGGUGUGAGAGCACAUCAGUAGGGGAUCCAGCAGACAAAGUUUAGCGUUCAAGUGAGAGGUCUGAGCUGUGGCUGAGGCUGUGCAGGGAGGGAGGGCGUGACGCCCCCUCAGACACACUGGCCACACCCUUCCCCGAGGAGGAGGAAGGCAUUGGGAGUUGAUCCUGCCACAGAGGCCCAGGUGGCGGGUGGGGAGGGUUCACAGGAAAGGCAAAAUCAGGCCCCAACAAAUCUGCCUCCAGAUGCGAACAAAAAGCAAACCUGUCUCUGGAAUUAUUUUUAAAACUAUAUUCACAACAUGGUGCAUUAACCAGAAAUGAUGCACAAAAAUUAGUGGCGUGAGCCUGGCCUUAAGGUUGGCCCUGCCCUAAUCCAUUCUGCAUGACACAGAAAAGCGACAGACCUAUUUGCUUUCUUUAUCCUAGGCAGCAUCGCAUACUGCAAAUGACCUGAAAACAUCCAAUAAUCUGUUCAUUUGCUAGAGUCUUUCUCUGAGACUGCAUUGAUAGGUGAUUUAUCAGGGCCGUGGGGGCAGCACAGGAGCGUUCUCUGCGUUUGCUCUGAUGCCAAAGCGCAUCAUCAGGACUGAAGGAAGUGUUUCCAUGGAAAACAAUGGCUCAUGGUUAACACCACCCUGUUGGCACAUAACGGGGGAGAUGACUGGCGCUAAUGUGAGAGCUAAGCGUUCACCGCUGCUCCCCUCUGUCCUUCAGUGGAAGCCUGUCCGCUCCGCACACUCUGGCUGCCGUGCAUUCCCAGGAGGAGCGCCGUGUCUGUUCUUACAACAAAGACUUGGCUGAAGUUUCUAAUGUUUUAACUGAGUUUCCUAAGGUGGACUGUGUUUAUGAACAAUCAAGCCCCAUCUGUGUUGCUGUUGUCCCUGUCUUUCCUUCGUGGGGCCACCUGUUCAAUCCCUGGUCCAGAAGAUCCCACGUGCCACGGAGCAAGUGAGCUUGUGCACCGCAGCUACUGAGCCCGAGCGCCAGAGCCAGCAGGCCGCAGCUGCUGAAACCUGUGGGCCGAAAGCCCGUACUCGGCAAUGAGAGAAGCCAUGACAGGGAGAAGGCCUCACUGAGACUGGGGAGCAGCCCCUCUUGCUGCAACAGGAGAAAAGCCCGUGCAGCAACUAAGACUUGGUACAGCCAACAUGAAAAUAAUAAUAAUACAUGAACUUUAAAAA